AGAGUUUGAUCCUGGCUCAGAACUAACGCUGGCGGCGUGCCUAACACAUGCAAGUCGUACGAGAAAGUCCGCUUCGGUGGAUCAGUAAAGUGGCGCACGGGUGAGUAACGCGUGGAUAAUCUACCCCUCAGUUGGGAAUAACGUACCGAAAGGUGCGCUAAUACCGAAUGACACUGCACAUCUUCUGUUGUGUAGUCAAAGAUGGCCUCUGCUUGCAAGCUUUCGCUGAAGGAUGAGUCCGCGUACCAUUAGCUAGUUGGUAGGGUAAUGGCCUACCAAGGCAACGAUGGUUAGCUGGUCUGAGAGGAUGAUCAGCCACACUGGAACUGAGACACGGUCCAGACUCCUACGGGAGGCAGCAGUGAGGAAUAUUGCGCAAUGGGGGAAACCCUGACGCAGCAACGCCGCGUGAGUGAGGAAGGUUUUCGGACCGUAAAGCUCUGUCGAGCGGGAAGAAAUGCAUGGUGGCUAAUAUCCAUCAUGCUUGACGGUACCGCUAAAGGAAGCACCGGCUAACUCCGUGCCAGCAGCCGCGGUAAUACGGGGGGUGCUAGCGUUGUUCGGAAUCAUUGGGCGUAAAGAGCGUGUAGGCGGCUGGAUAAGUCAGAUGUGAAAGCCCUGGGCUUAACCCAGGAAGUGCAUUUGAAACUGUUCAGCUAGAGUAAGGGAGAGGAAAGUGGAAUUCCUGGUGUAGAGGUGAAAUUCGUAGAUAUCAGGAGGAACACCGGUGGCGAAGGCGACUUUCUGGCCCUAUACUGACGCUGAGACGCGAGAGCGUGGGUAGCAAACAGGAUUAGAUACCCUGGUAGUCC
rnacentral:rRNA from 1 species